UACGUAGGGUGCGAGCGUUGUCCGGAAUUACUGGGCGUAAAGAGCUCGUAGGCGGUCUGUUGCGUCUGCUGUGAAAACUCGGGGCUUAACCCCGAGCCUGCAGUGGAUACGGGCAGACUAGAGGUAGGUAGGGGAGAAUGGAAUUCCCGGUGUAGCGGUGAAAUGCGCAGAUAUCGGGAGGAACACCGGUGGCGAAGGCGGUUCUCUGGGCCUUACCUGACGCUGAGGAGCGAAAGCGUGGGGAGCGAACAGG
rnacentral:rRNA from 1 species